GGUGCCAAUGCCUAGUCAGCUGAGUUAUAAAAUUAGACAUGCAGUUGUAAUUUAGAAGGCGUUGCUAAGAACAAUAUAUAAAGUAUUGUGACUAGGUUUACCCCUUAUGUUUUUCUACUAACUAUAUAAAAAGCGUGAAUGCCUCUACAGUGAAUUUUUGGUUUCGUCAAUCAUUGUCCAAAACUCGCUAUUUCAUCUCUAUGAACAGUGAUUUUUGUUUAAUUAAGUUUUUGUUCAUUUGUGGAGGGCUAAAUGAUGCGUUUGGCCAAAUAAAACAAUAACAAUUAAAGGGAGAGAGACAAUAACAAAGGGAGAGAGGCGAAAGGUCUGGAACUCUCUCCCGACUCUCCGUAUCUCUUCUCUCUCUCUUUUCUCUCUAUCAUUUCAGCAAAAGGUCUCUCUUUUCUCCAUACCAGAUCGGCUUAGGCACAAGUCAAAUUUAUAUCCUAAAAAAAGAAAACAAAAACCAUGGGAAGAAAGACCGACUAAUUUUUCCAGUCUUUUAGGUUAAUGAUAUUGAUCUUAAGUGGGUAUUUUGGGUGUCAUUGGCUUCUUAAGUAGGCUUAUGAUAAAGAAAGGAGAUUUGGUUCCAUUUUGGGUAUUUUCAGCUUACACAAGAAACAGAGAUGGGAAUGGGUGAGAGCGACAAAUAGACAGAGGUGAAAGACGAGAGACCUCAUCAGUGAGAGCAGAGCUGAAAGAACUUUGAGUUUUUCUCACCGAUCCACACUCUAUUUGCUGAAAGAGCAGAGAGGGCUUUGCCUACUCGGAUGGAGAGGGCUUUUCAACUAUUAUACGAAUCAAAGGUCUGGUUUGUGACUUUGGUUUUUCUCUCAACUCAUACCACAGUUGCUGGGUAUGGAGUUGUGUGUGCGUGGGUUUCUCCUUUCUAAGGUAAGAAGAUAUUGAAAGAGGGAGAGAGAAACAGAUCAUAAAGAAAGGGGAUUUGGUUCCAUUUUUGGUAUUUUAGAUUAACACACUAUAGAUAAGUGCUUUCUCUCUCUCUCUCAUAUUUCCACUUUGAAGUUUCACUAAUCAUAAUUUGGUUCCAUUUUUGCCUAAUCCCAUGUCAUUUUCUCUAUUUUUAAAAACAGGAAAAAUUGGACUAAUGAUACAAACCUAUACACCAGAGACAACCAAUUUUGCCAAAAAGAAAAGCUACCUACUCCAUUCGAUUCCACCAAGCUGAGCUAUUUGAUUUGUAGGG